rnacentral:rRNA from 1 species
CCUACGGGAGGCAGCAGUGAGGAAUAUUGGUCAAUGGACGGAAGUCUGAACCAGCCAUGCCGCGUGCAGGAAGACGGCCCUAUGAGUUGUAAACUGCUUUUGUACAAGAGUAAACCUGAAUACGUGUAUUCAGCUGAACGUACUGUACGAAUAAGGAUCGGCUAACUCCGUGCCAGCAGCCGCGGUAAUACGGAGGAUCCAAGCGUUAUCCGGAUUUAUUGGGUUUAAAGGGUGCGUAGAUGGAUUGGUAGGUCAGUGGGUAAAGUUUCGGGCUUAACUCGUGAACUGCAUCUGAUACUGUUAGUCUAGAGUAUAGGUGAGGUAGGCGGAAUUUGUGGUGUAGCGGUGAAAUGCUUAGAGAUCAUGCAGAACACCGAUUGCGAAGGCAGCUUACUAAACUAUAACUGACGUUGAUGUUCGAAAGUGUGGGGAGCAAACAGGAUUAGAUACCCGGGUAGUC